AUGAUUAAGCUGGUUGGUUGGCAAGAAAUUAGGAAGUUGUGGAAAAUGAGAAUGCCCAAGAGCAACCUGAAGACCAAACCUGAGAAUAAUUGGGCAGGUGCUGGAGUUUCUCAGAUCUCUGUGUCCAGCUUUAGUAGCUGGGGAUCUGGGGGCCUAGCUGGGUGGACUGUUGCGGGUCUGGCAAGAAUAAGCAGCAUCCAAAGUGAGAAGGAGACCAUGCAGGACUGAAUGACUACCUGGCCUCCAACCUGGAUAGAGUGAGAAGCCUGCAGACCAAUAACAGGUGGCUGGAGAGCAAAAUCUGAGAACAUCUGGAGAAGAGGGGGCUUCAGGUCAAGGACUGGGAGCAUUAUUUCAAAACCAUCAAGGAGCUGAGAGCCCAGAUCUUUGCGAGUUCUGUAGACAAUGUCUGCAUCAUCCUGCAGAUUGAUAAUGCUUGUCUUGCUGCUGAUGACUUUAGAGUCAAGCAUCAGACAGAGUUUGCAAUGUGCCAGUCUGUGGAAACUGACCUCCAUGGGCUCCAAAAGGUCACUGAUGACACCAAUAUUACUCAUCUGCAGCUGGAGUCAGAAAUUGAGGCACUAAAGGAGGAGCUGCUAUUCAUGAAGAAGAACCGUGAGGAGGAAGUCAAAGGCCUCCAAGCCCAGAUUGCCAGCUCUGGGUUGACAGGGGAGGUGGAUGCCUCUAAGUCUCAGGACCUCGGGAAGAUCAUGGCAGAUAUCUGGGCCCAGUAUGAAGAGCUGGCUAAGAAGAACUGAGAAGAUCUGGGCAAGUACUGGUCCCAGAAUAUUGAGGAGAGCACCACAGUGGUCACCUCUCAGUCUGCUAAGACUGUAGCUGCUGAGAUGACACUCACAGAGUUGAGAUGCACAUUUCAGGCCUUGGAGAUUGACCUGGACUCCAUGAGAAAUCUGAAAGCCAGCUUGGAGAACAGGCUUUGAGAUGUGGAGACCCAUCUAUGCCAUGCAGAUGGAACAGAUCAAUGACAUUCUGCUGCAGUUGGAGUCAGAGCUAGCACAGACCCGGCUGAGGGACAGUGCCAGAACCAGUAGUAUGAGGCCCUGCUAAACUUCAAGGUCAAGCUGGAAACUGAGAUCACCACCUACUGCCACCUCCUGGAAGACAAGGAGGACUUCAAUCUCAACGACACCAAAGUGCUCAGACACUGA